UCACUCUUGUCUCCUCUAAGUUUAUAAUGUUAUGCACAAGCAUGACCUCCAUUAUAGAUGCAGUUCAACUUCUUGUUAGAUUAGUAUUAGAAGACGUAGUAGUCCUGUAGAUAAAGCUCUAGACUAGUUGUUCUUUUUGUUCAGUGAGGAUGUUGUGGUCCAAGACUCCCAACUCCCAACUUAUAAGAUGCACUAGUAGAGGUACUUGGCCUCAUCCAUUGAACAAAUUCAAAUAAACACGGACACUUAGUUGUCGUGCGGCGUGCCCGUUUUGGCUCACACAUUGAAACUAGUCAAAGAUCCAGGUAGUUGUACAUGUGCCAAUGUUUUCAUUUUUCAUUCCUUUGACAGCCAGACAUUCUUCGGACACUACGGUACCGCUGUUAUUCUCAUUUACACACACAACACAUUGCAAAUAAGUUUCAAUAACUUGGGAGCCAAUGGUAAAAUAAAAUUAAGGAAAACUUUGGAUUUGUUUGUGAAAAAUCUUCUAAAAUAAGUUAUUCAGACUUUUUUUUUAUUCAGUAUAAUAUGGAAUUAAUUGUUACUAUUUUGGUAUUAUAAAGAAUUCAUCCAUUUGUAAGUAGAAAAUGAAAAAUGUUGAUUAUUUUGAUAAGUACAUAUAAGGAUUCAAUGCCAAAGGUGAUUAGUACAUAUAUGUAGAUUAUUUUGAUAAGUACAUAUAAAUUCUACAUAUAUGCAAGUUGCAACCCUCCACUGAUAUUCUUCUGAGUACUAGGGAAAAUGCACAUAUGGUUGCAGUUUGGAAAGGUGAUUAGGACUUUGUUCAAUGAAGCUUAGGCUUUGAGCACUAUCUUACAUCUGUCGGCCGUGGUGCUGAGUUAGUUUCCUACCUUUUACAUUUUCAGUGUUAAGGAUCAAUAGUUCUUUAUGUAGUUCAGGUUUUAUUAUUUUGUCAGAUUUGAGUGGUCUGAUGGGUAAUCUAGUACUUUUGUUGAUAAAUGUUGCAUUAUUUUACAAGAGGAAUGAGAUGACGUCUGGAGCUUUAUGAGACUGGGUUGGGUGCAGGAUUCUAAAUAUCUGGCUGUUACAUGAUGAGACUUUCGACCUUGGAUACCUAAAUAUACCUAUGUGUCGGUAGCUACUGUCCGAUAUCAUCCGAUGGCUGUAUCACCAAGACAAAUAUGUUUCCGAUACUGUAAGCUGGAUUGUUGUGGAAUCGCUUGACUUUCUAUAGAGGGAGUACCUAAGACCGUCCAGGCUUUCACUUUUUAUUCUUUGCUGCCACCCACCUCACCCUUCCUCAACUUCCAGCAGUCUUUAUCUGUUGUCUUUCUGUCGCCGUUAACUUCUUGAAGUUAUGAUAAUUGAUAAGUACACUUUACAUUAAAGCUCAAAACAAAAAAAAAAGUGCACAGGGGCAUGCCACAGAUUUGAAAAACAGCCAUACAAGGAUAAGCAAAAGGAAAAUUAGGACUACAUAUAUCCAAUGAGAGAAUUUACACGUACAACUUGUCCCUCAACCAGGAUGUAGGACCACCUCAGUUAACCUCCAGGCUUUCACACAAAUCUCUCUCUCUGGGAUGCUUUCACACCCCUCGUGGAGCAUAGAAAAAUUCUAUUAGUGGGCACAGUUUUGCAAGUUAUCUGAUCUUCAUUCAUGUACUUUUUCUGGAAGACCAUUCGAUUUCUCUCCAUCCCUAAGUAAUCCCGUUGCAGGCAGUGAGUUCCUCAUUAUCAAGCUUCUACAUCCCCACCCCGCUCAUAGCCCCUGAACUUUGUUUCUAGCCAGCACGGCCUGCCAUACAGAAAUCUAGAAAGGACAUUCAAAAGACUGGUUCAGAUGAUUUUGUCUUGCACUACUGUAUAGAGCCAAUGUCAGGCACCACCAUGCCCCAGACUGUUAACCCAUUGUGGGUACUUAACCUUGGCUAGCCAUCCAGAGUACAAAGGCCCAUUUAGGCACAAUGUUCCAUAUCCAAAUAACGCAUUCCUUGCUUAUGCUUACUAGCAUUCCAAGGAGAAUUUACCUUCGACUUACCACUUGAGUGAGGCAACCACCAAACUGAAUCCUAUUUGCUUACCUCAGCCUGCAAAUUAGAGGGACACUGAGCAAUAAUGUUUUGAGUUAGUCUAUUAAUUACUCUAGGUCAUUUCCAUUUACCAUUGUGGAUAACAGAGGACACCUUUGCUUUUCAAGACCUUCCCGAGUUGUAGACUACAUUUUUACCAUGUCUUGUAGACUCCCUAGUUUUCUAACCAUAGGAUUGUAGAUACCCCAUGCCAAGUCUGCAUUGAACGAGAGGCUGGUUGCUAAUGUUGAAGACCUUCAUAACAGUACCCGAUGCAUCAGCUGGGAGUUCUCUGCAUUCCUGUUUUUUUAGCUGCUUCAGUAGGGUAAGGAAUGGGACGAGCCCGUUGCGCCGUUGCCUGGGACAUUCACAACACAGAUGCAAGACUUCUUCCAUUGUCUAGAGUAAUAUUCCUGCAUUUCAUUCAGAUGGGUUGAAGAAGUGAAAUCCGCUUCAGCAUUAUCAACAGAUGCAGAAGAAACGGACAAAAAAAAUUUUGCUCAGAGACAUUGACUUUUGAUGCUAUAAGAAUGUACCCACUUUAAAGAUAGGGUGUCAGCCUUCAUAAAUAGUGGCCAUAGGUUUGUCAUCAUAGUGCCUUUAUUCCACUUUUCGUUCUUCUAAACCCAACCUUCUUCCUCAGGACAACAGAUACGAUCCCAACUGAUUUUAGCACUGUUAUGCUUCAUUCAGACCCUGACUAUAGAAAUGCCAUUUCGGCACUUUCCUCCUCCUUGAUUAUAUUGCUAGAAA